GGGCCCGCACAAGCGGAGGAACAUGUGGUUUAAUUCGAUGAUACGCGAGGAACCUUACCCGGGCUUGAAAUGCAUACGACGGACCUUGAAAGGGGUUUUCUAGCAAUAGCGUAUGUGUAGGUGCUGCAUGGUUGUCGUCAGCUCGUGCCGUGAGGUGUCGGCUUAAGUGCCAUAACGAGCGCAACCCACAUCAUUAGUUACUAACAGUUUAAGCUGAGGACUCUAAUGAGACUGCCGUCGUAAGAUGCGAGGAAGGUGUGGAUGACGUCAAAUCAGCACGGCCCUUACGUCCGGGGCGACACACGUGUUACAAUGGGAGGUACAAAGGGCAGCUACUUGGCGACAAGAUGCCAAUCCCCAAAGCCUCUCCCCAGUUCGGAUCGGAGUCUGCAACUCGACUCCGUGAAGCUGGAUUCGCCUAGUAAUCGCGCAUCAGCCAUGGCG
rnacentral:rRNA from 1 species